AAGAGAGUCUGCAGUCAAUCUCCAUUCACAGAAAGGUAGGUAGGAGGAAAUCCAGAGGGCAAAAGCCCUGAGAUCCUAGCCCUGCAGGAAGGUUUUACCCAGAGAUACUGUGGGGAAGAAAGCCUGUGGAAGAUAGAAUGGGAAGAAGCCCAGAAAAAGAGCAGGGAGGGUGGAGACCGUGUAGACCUUGGCUGCUGAUUAGAGGGUGUAUGGGCUAGAACCUUGAGUAGCAGGUAGCCCCAGGUUCCCCUACCAGCCACUGGGAAAGUAGCCUGGACUUAGAAUUGGUAUGGAGGACUGCCUGAAAUGGCAUAUGGACAGUUUACCUAGCUGGGCUUUGAUACUCUAGAAGGGAGGAGGUGUGGGGAAUGGACUGUACAGUGACCUGGUUGGAGGGCUGAGUCAUGAAGAGAGAGCAUCUUGAGUCCUGGAGAGUGAGAAGGGGCCACAGGAUGAGUGAGUGAUAGAAGAGGGCUCUAGACCAGAUGAUAGCUGAUCCCCAGACCCAGCCAUGAAGAAGUUGCACUGCAGUUAGUGUACUCUGUUACAGGUUCCUUUUCUUCUUACUAGCAGGUAAGGGUUUGUCUCUCUACACAGCACACUAAACUUGGACUCUGACUCUGGUUUAAGCCCACACAAAAAUCAGUCGGACUCUUCCAGAAACCCCUCUGACUCAAGUCCACUGCAAGGGAAGUGGGUCAGAACCAGAGUCCCACUGUCAUGUGUGACAAAGCUCAGGCAUUUUGCCAUGUGGACUCAAGUCAGGUCGCCAGACUCAUAAUGUUAAUGGACUCAAGAUCUGUUACAAUCUCCUGGGACUGUGCUUCCCAGUCUUUCAAUCCCAAAACUUCCUACUCAUUUCCUGGAAAGUAGAAACAACCUCCUGGUUUAAAUGCAGCUGCUCAGCAUUUAAACCUUCAUUUCCAUGUGGCAUGGUCAACUGGGAUCACAGUCAACCCUCAUUUGCCUUAACCUAGCUAGUUCUAAGAAGUUCUGCAUCAAGUGCUAGCUGGCCAGAGGAACGCUGCCGGAUUCUGGUUAACUUCUGGUAUGAAGUGAGCAAGACGUUCUACUUCAGCAAUAGCACAAGAAAUCACCAUCUUUACAUAACUAUAUUUGAGUGGUUGGCAGUGCUGGGGAUCGAUCAGACAGCAGAAAAAUGCAGAGAGUGAAACAAACUGCUGCAAACCAAGAACUACAAAGUUUAGGAUGCUAGCGGCACCUCUGGGAACUCCCAGUCUUUCUGCCUCUUUUACAAGAAUUUGACUGGGUAUUGAGAAUGGUAGCAAGCACUGAUCCCAGACUGAUUCAAGACAAUCUACUGCACGGGGAUAGUAACCUUAUAACUCCCACCCCCACCCCCCAUUACAGGCACCACCAGAGGAGAGCUAGCCCCCAGAUGAAGGCCAAGAAGUGACCCUGGUGGCGAGGCCAGUACCCAAAGAAGCUAUGCUGCUGGAGCAACUAUAGCACAUUUUAGGGCAAGCACGCAGCCUGGGGGAGUAGACCCACCUACUGCAAGCAAAGAGAAAGAGUCCAAGUGUCCAUGACUUGAGAGCAGAAAUGAUGUCACUGUUCAGUGGCACAAAAGCAACCAAGCUGCCAUGAGAUGCUGAUUCUUCCUCCAAUUUUUCCCUCCUUUCAUGCCAGCCAAUUAUUUUGGGAACACAAAGGGACGAAGUUUUUAUUUUGUUACCACCAUAAAUCAGGGUUUGUGGAGAAUUCCAGCUCUGUCAAUAAGGAAUGAACACACCCCAUUGUCCAGACUGUUAAAUCUAAUUUGUGGAAGCAUGGCAUACGCACGCCACCCACCCCCCGUCUUUUCACUGGUAAA